AUAAGCGACUUCUUUUAUUAUGUUAGUUGAUGUUAUGUUGAGUCGCGCGUUGUUGGUUGAGCAGUAAAAAACAUAUAUAUAGAACUAUACGGUAUAAUGCAUGUGAACUACUACCUAAAAAUGGCAAUGUAGUUUCCGAUUAUAAAUGAAAUGACGAACACACAACGGUGCAUUUAUACUGUCUGUACAUUCGGGUUGCCAUAUUUAAAAUGCAAUAGCGCUAUAUAUAUAUAUAUAUAUAGAGAGAGAGAGUGUAAAAGCCGUUUAUAAAAUUUAAAAAUUCCAAUUCAACGUAAAAAUGAGUUUUCGUUGUUGUUUCAAAUCAUAGUGUAUUGUUUUGUGUAUAUAUCAUGCUGCAUGUACAUCAAUUCGUCGGGCUCUUAAUUAAAGCAAUAAAUAUUCUUAUUCUGCCACAUGUUAUGUUGCACCUGUUUAACCAUUUCGGAUUAAAUGGGUUUUUUUUCAAGUUUUAAUCUACAUUUUGUCAUUUUUGUUCAUAAGAGGUUGAGAUAAGACGAAGAGAUAUCAUUGACAAAAUAUAACUUUAAAUAACUGGGCAAUUUUCCAUGAAUAAAAGGUUGACGACAAAGGUAUUUGUUCAAGUGAUUCAAAAAUUAUCAACUUUAGAAUAUAAAUGAAUAUUUAAAUGUAGACUUAUUGAUUGAUUAUAUGGACCCCUACAUCCAUAAUUAAUGUAAUUUCUAAGCAUAAUUUAAAAUUUUUAACUCUUUUUGUUUCUAUCGCCUUUUAUUUUUAUAUGUAUUACUUUAUUAUGUGUUAUUAUUCGGUAUAAAAUGUUGUUUUGUUGAUUUGUUAUUAUUUAUUUUUAAUCAUAAUUUUGUUAUGAUUUAGUUGAAAAUAACUCCUUUAAAGACUAUUUGGUUCAUCAUAAACUUGUAUGAUAUAAUACCAGAAAACUAAAAACUUUGUACGCUAGACGCGCACUUCAUCUAAAGAAGACUCAUCAGUGACGGUAAUAU
rnacentral:lncRNA from 1 species